rnacentral:siRNA from 1 species
UCGAUACGCUCUCUCCAUUUG